rnacentral:rRNA from 1 species
UAGGUAGUUUGUCCUUCGGGGGGACGCUUACCACUUGGUGGUUCAUGACUGGGGUGAAGUCGUAACAAGGUAGCGCUAGGGGAACCUGGCGCUGGAUCACCUCCUUAAACGAUGAU